rnacentral:rRNA from 1 species
AGCAGCCGCGGUAAUUCCAGCUCCAAUAGCGUAUAUUAAAGUUGUUGCAGUUAAAAAGCUCGUAGUUGAACCUUAGGCCCGUGCGGGCGGUCCGUCCUCUGGGCGAGCACUGCCUCGUCGCGGGUCUCACCUUCUGGCGAGCGUGGAUGCCAUUUAUUUGGUGUCCGCGGGAACCAGGACCUUUACCUUGAAAAAAUUAGAGUGCUCAAAGCGGGCUCCGACGCUUGAAUACAUUAGCAUGGAAUAAUGAAAUAGGACGAUGGUUCUAUUUUGUUGGUUUCUGGGACCGUCGUAAUGAUUAAUAGGGAUAGUUGGGGGCAUUCGUAUUCAAUUGUCAGAGGUGAAAUUCUUGGAUUUAUUGAAGACGGACUACUGCGAAAGCAUUUGCCAAGGAUGUUUUCAUUAAUCAAGAACGAAAGUUGGGGGAUCGAAGACGAUCAGAUACCGUCGUAGUCUCAACCAUAAACUAUGCCGACUGGGAAUCGGGCGAUGUUAUUUUUUGUGUACUCGCUCGGCGCCC